UUGGUCUUUGCUAAUAAAUAGAAAACCUCGGUGUAUGGUUAAUGGAUGAAAAUAUGUUUAUCUUUGUAAAAUUUGACACAUCUCGGUUUGAAAGAAUGAUUCUUAAACCCUUGAUAGAGUUGGAUAUACACAGUAAAAAGAGACCCAUGUUGAGUGCUGUUAAGGGUUUCAAAGGUCUUUUUAAAAUGCCUCAACUGUUAAUGGUUGGAUGCUAGAAAUGGAAGAACAGUGAGAUGGCAAAGAGAUAGAAGAGGGUGAUAAGGAAAACUCAAAGGAAUCGCAGAACUGAGCACGACAUCAACAUAGAUCUGUUGGUGUUGUUGGAGAACGCAACAUAAACACCAAAACAGACAAAUUUGACAGAGAAAAUUAGUGAACCACUGCAAGUGUUACUCAGAUCAGAUGGUGUGGGAUCGAAAAAUGGUCUUAGGAUGUUUGAAAAUGAGGAGAAUAUUUAUGAUGCUGAAUAAAAAUAAUUAAGCCCAAGAUGUCCUUGUGCCCCAGAGUAGAGUAAGGGUGGAAUGCAGAGAGACCAGAAUUUGAGAAACACGUAAAUACACUUGCAUUCCUAAAAAUCGAGAGUGAGUUUGAGAAGAAGUGGGAAUCACAGCAAGGAAAGGGAGAAAGAGAGUCUUGGGAGCUAACGGAAAUAGGAAAGUAAAACAAAGGCCAUGCAUGGUAUGGGGAGCUAAAAAGCUUUUGAUCUUAUAUCGUGUUUGUUCUGUGAUUGUAAUGGUGUCUUUGGA